rnacentral:rRNA from 1 species
GACGAACGCUGGCGGCGUGCUUAACACAUGCAAGUCGAACGGAAAGGCCCUGCUUUUGUGGGGUGCUCGAGUGGCGAACGGGUGAGUAACACGUGAGUAACCUGCCCUUGACUUUGGGAUAACUUCAGGAAACUGGGGCUAAUACCGGAUAGGAGCUCCUGCUGCAUGGUGGGGGUUGGAAAGUUUCGGCGGUUGGGGAUGGACUCGCGGCUUAUCAGCUUGUUGGUGGGGUAGUGGCUUACCAAGGCUUUGACGGGUAGCCGGCCUGAGAGGGUGACCGGCCACAUUGGGACUGAGAUACGGCCCAGACUGCUACGGGAGGCAGCAGGGGGGAAUAUUGCACAAUGGGCGGAAGCCUGAUGAAGCAACGCCGCGUGCGGGAUGACGGCCUUAGGGUUGUAAACCGCUUUCGCCUGUGACGAAGCGUGAGUGACGGUAAUGGGUAAAGAAGCACCGGCUAACUACGUG